GACCCCAUAGCUCAAACGGAUAGAGCAGCGGUUUCCUAAACCGUCGAUUCCAGUUCGAUUCUGGAUGGGGUCG
rnacentral:tRNA from 1 species